CCUACGGGUGGCAGCAGUGAGGAAUAUUGGUCAAUGGACGAGAGUCUGAACCAGCCAAGUAGCGUGAAGGAUGACUGCCCUAUGGGUUGUAAACUUCUUUUAUAUGGGAAUAAAAUGUUCCACGUGUGGGAUUUUGUAUGUACCAUAUGAAUAAGGAUCGGCUAACUCCGUGCCAGCAGCCGCGGUAAUACGGAGGAGCCGAGCGUUGUCCGGAUUUAUUGGGUUUAAGGGGAGCGUAGGUGGAUUGUUAAGUCAGUUGUGAAAGGGUGCGGCUCAACCGUAAAAUGGCAGUUGAAACUGGCAGUCUAGAGUACAGUAGAGGUGGGCGGAAUUCGUGGUGUAGCGGUGAAAUGCGUAGAUAUCACGAAGAACUCCGAUUGCGAAGGCAGCUCACUGGACUGCAACUGACACUGAGGCUCGAAGGUGUGGGUAUCAAACGGGAUUAGAUACCCUAGUAGUC
rnacentral:rRNA from 1 species